rnacentral:tRNA from 1 species
AGGGGCAUAGCUCAGCUGGUAGAGCACCGGUCUCCAAAACCGGGUGUCGUCGGUUCGAUCCCGGCUGCCCCUGCCA